rnacentral:snRNA from 1 species
UAUAACGUUAUAUCUAUUUUAUA